UUAUUUGGCUCUGGUUAGGAAAAGCUUCAACCAGAGCCAGAGACCACUUGGUUGGCUUCAGCCUCUGUGGCAUUUGAUACUCUUGACCACCUUCUCUGGCAGUUCUCCUUUUCUUGGUACACUUCCCAUUUUAUUUUCCUGUUUCUUUUAUUACCUAUACCUCCCCUUCUCUGGGUGCUGCUUCUUAGAUUCCAUUGCAGUCUUUGGGCGGAGGGGGUUUGCUUGGUGUUCCUCAUGGUUCUUUCUGUGUCUGUUCUUGCAUCCGGGGUGAUCUUAUUCACUUCUUGGCUCCUACUGUCUCUGUACUGGUGAUUCUCAGUUCUUAGAGAACCCAUAGCCCAGCCAUCCCUCCAUGUCCCGACUACUUCCUGGGCAUUUAUCUUUGGAUCUGUCAAAGAUACUUCAAAUUCAUCAGGUCCACAACUGAACUUGUCAUCUUGUACUCACACUAGCUUGUCUUGAAUUACUUUUCUGAGUGAGACCUAAGCCACCAUACUUUUCUUUCAUCCCUCACAGCCUGGUUUUAAAGGAUGUUCUAAAUAGCUCUUAAACCUUUUCUAUUUUUAAAAAAUUAAUUAAUUUUAUUUUCGGCUGUAUUGUGUCUUUGUUGCUGCACGGGCUUUCUCUAGUUGCAGCGAGUAGGGGCUACUCUUCCUUGAGGUGCAUGGGCUUCUCAUUGGGGUGGCUUCUCUUGUUGUGGAGCACGGGCUCUAGGCACGCGGGCUUCAGUAGUUGUGGCUCGUGGGCUCUAGAGCACAGGCUCAGUAGUUGUGGCACGUGGGCUCAGUAAUUGUGGCACACAGGCUUAGCUGCUCUGUGGCAUGUGAGAUCUUCCCAGACCAGGGGUCAAACCCGUGUCCCCUGCCUUGGCAGGCAGAUUCUUAAGCACUGCACCACCAGGGAAGUCCCUUGCUCUUCUAUUUCUUUUGCUCGUCAGAUCAUCACAUCUCUCUGCUGCUCUGCCUGAUCGUUCUCUAAUCCAGAUUCCACCCUGCAGUGAGCUUAGUCUAAAACAUUUAUCCAAUAUCCAUCCAUGGUCUAUUGGCAGGAUAAAUUCCUCACAGUCUGGUCCUAACCUCACCUUUUGUCCCACCGACACUUCAUGAGAUUGGGAACUCCCCAAGAGCUGAGACAUGUCAGUUUAACAAAUACUAAAUACUUAUGAUAGGGGCUGAGGCACCAGGAUGACUAAAACAGUAUACUGAGAUUAGAUUACAGCCCAAGGGGGUGGGGAGGAGGGAGAGGAGGAACUUUAAUCUAGCAGUGGUAGGGCACUUAGAGGAGGGCAUUAUACUUUAUUCAUCAACAUUCCCUGUCUCUACCACCUAAACAAGCUCACAGUGUCAGCUAAAUAUUGAAUUAAAAUGAAGGAAAUGUUUUUAAUUGUACUUUGUAGCAAAAAAAUUGUUUGCAUACUGCCUUCAUGUCUUCAAGGCUUUCAUUUCUUUUUGAUUCCCUAACCCCCUUUCCCCAGAUCAGAUCUUAAGGCAAAUCUCAAAGCAAUUCAGGUAGUGAAACUUCAGUCACCUUUGACACUUUCUUCUUUAAGUUCCUGCCAUCCAGUAAGCCAAGUCUAAAGAUUACUUUCCUUCAGAUCACUUCUUCCUUCUCAUUCCAAUCUGGCAAGCACUGUCCUGGAUUAACUGAAAUACCUUUCUAACUGAUCUUCCUGCUUCUAGUCUACCCCCACUCUAGUCCUUCCUGACAAUGAAUGCCAAGUGGGUUUUCCUAAUUUAUUUCUUUUAUUUAUUGAUUAUUGAUCAGUGGCUCUCCACUCCGGACCAAAUUAAGUUCAGGCUCUCAUCAAUGUGGACCCCUCCUACCUUCCAGCUUUCCUACUUCUUUCUUUUUUAUGUGUCACACAGAGAAAACCUUACCCAGGCAGGCCUUGUGCUUUCCUGACUCAAGUGAUAGGGACCAUCUUUCCUGCUCCUAUUUUGUCUAUUAAAAUCUUCCUCAUUCUUUUAGUCUGGCUCAGGCAGGAUUGGGGAUAACAAGGGACAGUAGCUUUGCAUUACUAAGGCAAAGAGCUGUCACCUGUAAUAUAGAGAUCAUAAUCCUUAUAUCAGGUAGUCAUGGUAGACAGCAAAUAACAUUUUCUGAGUUCUUGGUACAGUUAUCUUUCUAUCCCAUUUACAUUUGUCAAACCAUAAUGUUGUGUAUGUCCCCACACACUCUAAAAUUCACACAAAUUGUAGUUUAUGUAAAAAUUUAUUUGACCAAAAUGUAGAAAAAGUGAUACUAUUACAUAUGAUACAGUUGCAAGAAUCUAAAUGAAAAGUGUGGGUUUUAUUCAGUUGCACAGUUUGCUAGUGUAUCUCCUGGGUAGUGUGAUGCUUAAUAAAUAGGAGUGAGGGGCAGAGGAUUUGGAUAAGCUAGAAGCAGGGUGAUUUUUAGUCAGAAUUGUAAACUUGAGUUGGCUCCCACACUGCUGGGGAAUGUGGAAUGUUUCAGCUCUGAGAUGGUAACUGAGAAAGCAGAAAUCUAACAAAGACAAAAUGUGCAGCCCUGUCUACAAAAUACUCCACAUCCAGUUUAAUCAGGAGUUUCUUGGUAUUUGAUUAACUUUGUCCUGAAGAAGGAAUUAAAAUUCCAGAUAAGUAAAUCUCCAAUUUGCCAGUGCCUGGAGUAUAGAGGAGAUGAAGUUAGGCCAAUUACUUUUUCAUCUUUACUUUGCUGCCAGAGAGGGCCAUUCUGCCCAAUAUUUGUUUAUAGAAAAACAGUCUUACUCAGUUAUUGAUGCUAGCAGUGUUUUUGAUAACGGCUUCUCUGAAUAGGACUGAAUUCUACAACAUUCAUUCCUGCUGAGUGGAUGGCCUCAUAUCGGAGCAGAUAAGCAUGGGUCAUUAUUGGAAUAA